rnacentral:rRNA from 1 species
AUUGAACGCUGGCGGCAGGCCUAACACGUGCAAGUCGAGCGGAUGAAGAGAGCUUGCUCUCUGAUUCAGCGGCGGACGGGUGAGUAAUGCCUAGGAAUCUGCCUGGUAGUGGGGGACAACGUUUCGAAAGGAACGCUAAUACCGCAUACGUCCUACGGGAGAAAGCAGGGGACCUUCGGGCCUUGCGCUAUCAGAUGAGCCUAGGUCGGAUUGGCUAGUCGGUGGGGUAAAGGUUCACCUAGGCGACGAUCCGUAACUGGUCUGAGAGGAUGAUCAGUCACACUGGAACGGAGACACGGUCCAGACGCCUACGGGAGGCAGCAGCGGGGAAUAUUGGACAAUGGGCGAAAGCCUGAUCCAGCCAUGCCGCGUGUGUGAAGAAGGUCUUCGGAUUGUAAAGCACUUUAAGUUGGGAGGAAGGGCAGUAAGCUAAUACCUUGCUGUUUUGACGUUACCAACAGAAUAAGCACCGGCUAACUUCGUGCCAGCCGCCGCCGUAACAC